rnacentral:lncRNA from 1 species
CGUCUCUCUUUGUCCAACUAGUCUGAGUUCCUUGGGUUCCUGAUGCUAUAAAAUCUCAGUACCAGUUUCCACCCCCUCUCAUUGCACCUGCGGCCAUUCGGGAUGGGGAGCUGAUCUGCAGUGGGGUCCCUGAGGAAUCGCAAACGCACCUUUUGAACUCUGAGCACUUAGCCACCCAGACAGAGCAGCAAGAGUGGCUCUGUAGUGUUGUUGCCCUCCAGUGCAGCAUAUUGAAACAUUUAUCUGCUAAGCAGAUGCCUUCGCAUUGGGACUCUGAACAGACAGAGAAGGCUGAUAUUAAGCCUGUUAUUGUGACUGACAGCUCAAUCACCACCUCC